rnacentral:lncRNA from 1 species
AUUGUCUUCCACAAUGGUUGAACUAAUUUACACCCCCACCAACAGUGUAAAAGCAUUCCUAUUUAUCCACAUCCUCUCCAGCAUCUGCUGUUUCCUGACUUUUUAAUUAUUGCCAUUAUAACUGGCAUGAGAUGGUAUCUCAUUGUGGUUUUGAUUUGCAUUUCUCUGAUGACCAGUGAUGAUGAGCAUUUUUUCAUGUAAAAAGUUGACUGCAUAAAUGAUGGUAGCCUGUCUCCCUGAGAAGGAUGGGCCUGGCAGCAGCUCUGGCCGAGUGCUGCAGGAGAGUUCAGUUUUUGUUCUGUUUUCAGACCUUAGUACCCA